GGUGGCCCGGCCGGUGGUGGCGGCGGUGACGCUCAGGGCGGCGCCGAGCAUCCACAGCGUGGAUCGUCGUCGCAUGCCGUCGCC
rnacentral:tRNA from 1 species